AAUUGUACAAUAUGUUUGCAGAAAAUGACAUUCAAUGGUAUUCACAACAUUGGUAGACUGUUUCAACAUCAUUAACUACUCACUGUCCCAAGAGGUUUGUGUGUGACACUGCAGCUGUGAAAAUGACGUCAAACAUUAUCCGUAGUAUAGUUGGGAAGACUUUGAGAUAUGAAGAAACUUUACCAAGUUUGCCUGUACCACUUCUUAAACAGACAUGUGCAAAAUAUCUCGAGUCAG